rnacentral:rRNA from 1 species
CACGUAGGGGGCGAGCGUUGUCCGGAUUCAUUGGGCGUAAAGCGCGCGCAGGCGGCUCGGAAAGUCGGGUGUGAAAACUCGGGGCUCAACCCCGGGCGUGCAUCCGAUACUGCCGGGCUUGAGGCAGGUAGGGGAGAUCGGAAUUCCUGGUGUAGCGGUGAAAUGCGCAGAUAUCAGGAGGAACACCGGUGGCGAAGGCGGAUCUCUGGGCCUGUCCUGACGCUGAGGCGCGAAAGCUAGGGGAGCGAACAGG